rnacentral:rRNA from 1 species
UGGUGGAGUGAUUUGUCUGGUUAAUUCCGUUAACGAACGAGACCUCCGCCUGCUAAAUAGUGGCGUGAUUCGUUUUAGAAUGACGUGGACUUCUUAGAGGGACAAUUGGUGUUUAGCCAAUGGAAGUGGGAGGCAAUAACA